ACGGAAGGCAGCCGUGGGGAAUAUUGGUCAAUGGGCGGAAGCCUGAACCAGCCAAGUCGCGUGCGGGACGAAGGCCCUACGGGUCGUAAACCGCUUUUGUACGGGGAUAAAACCACCCACGCGUGGGUGCUUGUAGGUACCGUAAGAAUAAGGAUCGGCUAACUCCGUGCCAGCAGCCGCGGUAAUACGGAGGAUCCGAGCGUUAUCCGGAUUUAUUGGGUUUAAAGGGUGCGCAGGCGGGCUGCUAAGUCUCCGGUGAAAUGUCAGGGCUCAAACUUGGCACUGCCGGGGAUACUGGCGGCCUUGAGAGUGGCGGAGGUAUCCGGAAGGUGUGGUGUAGCGGUGAAAUGCAUAGAUAUCACACAGAACACCGAUUGCGAAGGCAGGAUACCAUACCAUAUCUGACGCUCAGGCACGAAAGCGUGGGGAUCGAACAGGAUGAGAUACCCUGGUA
rnacentral:rRNA from 1 species